GUCAAAAGAUGAAGCACAGAUAGAGCAUCUGGAGUUUUCAGUUUGACUUCUGACCCAGACCUCACUGAGGACAAUGGGAGUCCCUCUGCAUUUGAUAAGCUGCAGUAGAGGCUCUGCCCUCAAGGACAGCAAAAGGCUCAUCAAAGCCAUGGAGAUGUUUAUUCCUGGUGAGAAGAGGUCAGUGCUCCUCUUGGAGCUGAAUCACGUGAAGUGGAAUCCGAAAGAGGACAGAGGGCAUGAGAGAGAAUAGAGCUCUUCUGAUGAUACACUGCACUUUGUGGGAAUCCAGCCUGAAGGGACAGCUUUACAAGCCUUCACAGGCUUCAGGCAUCUAUUUUUAUCAAACUGAACAAUUGUUGCUCAGAAAAAGAGACCCUUACUUUCCAGGUUGCAUGUGGCUGCCCUCGGUUAGUCUGAACUCCCUUGACCUCAGUGCAGCUUAAGUGAUGUGAC